rnacentral:sRNA from 1 species
CGGCUGCUGCUGUUGCUGCGAUUGCAUUUGCAUUUGCAGUUGCUGCUGCUGUUGUUGUUGCUGCUGCUGCUGCUGCUG